GAUCUCUCGUCUCCUCCUCUCUCACCAUCUCUUCAAUCUUCUUGCUCAUAACUCAUCUGAAAUCCUCCUCUCUCAUCAUCUCAUAUCCUGCAAUCAUCUUCUCCUAUCAAUUCUCCUCUUUCAUCACCUAUUCAAUCCUCAUCUCACGAUCUCUCAAACUCGUCCUCUGUCGUAACGGGUUCAAGCACACCACCAUCACCAUGACCUCGCCUCCUCCUCUUUGGAUCUGGAAUAAUGAUGAAAGGGAUGCGCGCCAGAGGUGAAGGUUGACAUAGCGGAGAUGCGCCGGAGGUGUUACGAACCAGAGACGGAGGUGUUACGAACCAGAGACGGAGGCGGAGGUAGAUGUGGUUCAGAGCAAGGUGAUUUGAGGCGGGGGCAUGAGGAGGCGGAGGCACGAAUACGCGGAAGCCAGAGGUCGAAGACGGCGGAGUUAAGAAGAUUGGUUUAGUCGUUACUGUAUUAGGUUUAGUUAGUAAAUAGGUUUAGGUUAAAUCUUGGUUUAAGUUUUUGGUUUAGUUUUGAUUUAUUUUCUAAUUUGUAUACCAUAUUCUUUUUGUAAACCAGUUUUAUUAUAAAUCAGUUUAAAUAAUAAACAAAUUUUGAAAUAUAUAAACCAAUUUAAAUUUUAAUUAUGUUUUUAUUUUCAAGCAAUUAAAUUUCCAUAAAUAAUUUUUAAAAUAAAGAAUUUUAAUAUAAGUAAUAGCAUUUAUGACACGCUAUUAAAUAAUAUUUAAUUGCAGAUAGAAAACAUUAUGGUAUCGGAAGAAAAGAUAGCAGCAUAAAAAACCGCUAUGUAAUGUCUUUUACCUAUUAUGACGGGCGAUGAUACAGCGUUUCAAAAACCGCUAUAGUAUUGUUAUAUAGCGUUAUUCGUCCGCUAUUAAAACACAUUUUUCUUGUAGUGAGACAAGAGUCGUGAAUAGAAAAGAGCUCCUCACUAAAUAACAUGUGUCGAACGUCGUUUUCCCCGUUGCUUGGUUCCCAAGUUGCUGUCCUCAUCUGCUAAUGUUAAUUUUGCAUGGAAAUUGCCUAUUAUAAUUCAAUUGUUAAUCUUAAUCAAUUUCUUUUUUAGAUUAAUAUGUAUCCACGCAUCCACGUAUGCUCCAGAAAUAUUAAAAUGUUCUCGAAAUUUAAGGAAAGUUUCGUUUGGUUUUGUUAUUCCACUCGGAACUUAUAUCAAAAGUAGAAGGUGUUAACUUAAAUUUCCUCUUUACAGCAAAUGGUUGGCUGACACGACAUGGAGCAACUUAGAGCAGAAGUUAACAGUUCUCACUUAAAGGCAUCUCCUCUGCCUAUAUAAAUCAGCCCACAUUUUGCAUGCCUUCUCAAUUACAAAAGCAUCAAACAAACACAAGAACAAAAGUACAAAACACACACAUAGAUACAAAUAAAUAGGCUAAUAGGAAUAUGAAUUCCAAAGGAGAAAUUUCUAGUUCUACUGCGGAGCGUAAGGUGAAGAAAGAAGCAGCGAGUGUGAUUCCCGUUAAGAGGAAGCUGGUGAAGACUAUGGCCGUCGAAGCCAUUAUCUCUGCCUUUUCUCCCUGUAGUAGCCGGACCUCUGAUCACUCUAAUGGCAACGGCCACGGGAAGGGCAACGGAGGGCGCGUGUACCCAACUCAUCCUUGACCGGUUCUAUUCUUGGGGUUUAGGGUAUUUGCGCCGCCAUGAUAUUUUGUGGGUUUGAUAUAUAUGUAGAUGUAAUAUGUUGGUGUUCUCACCGUGUAACCUCUGUUUCUCUUUUUUUUUUAUGUUUUAAAUUAAAUGUUUCUAUUGUUCAGUUUCCGGUAGGGGUAACAAACGGCGAUGAUUAUGAUGUCCUCUUUGUAAAUAAACCGAUUAAGUUGUGGUAUUAGCCUUAAACACUCGCUUCCCUUAACUAUCA